rnacentral:rRNA from 1 species
AGGACGAACGCUGGCGGCGUGCUUAACACAUGCAAGUCGAACGGAAAGGCCCGCUUGCGGGUACUCGAGUGGCGAACGGGUGAGUAACACGUGGGCAACCUGCCCUCAGCUUCGGGAUAACAUUUGGAAACAGGUGCUAAUACCGGAUAAUAACCUUUCAUCGCAUGGUGUGGGGUUCAAAGUUUUUCGGCUGGGGAUGGGCCCGCGGCCUAUCAGCUUGUUGGUGGGGUAAUGGCCUACCAAGGCGACGACGGGUAGCCGGCCUGAGAGGGCGACCGGCCACACUGGGACUGAGACACGGCCCAGACUCCUACGGGAGGCAGCAGUGGGGAAUAUUGCGCAAUGGGCGGAAGCCUGACGCAGCGACGCCGCGUGAGGGAUGACGGCCUUCGGGUUGUAAACCUCUUUCAGCUCUGACGAAGCGCAAGUGACGGUAGAGCAGAAGAAGCACCGGCCAACUACGCGCCAGCAGCCGC